GAUUGUUCACCCACCAAUAGGGAACGUGAGCUGGGUUUACACCGUCGUGAGACAGGUUAGUUUUACCCUACAGAUGACAAUGUCGUAAUAAUACUUCAACCUAGUAUGAAAGGAACCGUUAAUUCACAUAAUUGGUCAUCACACUUGGUUGAAAAGCCAGUGGGGCGACGCUACCGUGCGAUAGAUUAUGACUAAACGCCUCUAAGUCAAAAUCUGAGCUAGAAGCGACGCAUGCGCCCACCGCCCGUUUGCCGACCCGCAGUAGGGGCCAUCCAGCCCACAAAGGCACGUGUCGUUGGUGAAGCCCGCGCAGAAGAUGAGUCGCGCGGGCCGCCUUGAAGUACAAUUCCUAUCUCGAGCGGCGAGUAGAACCUUUCCAAAUGAAUUAAAUAUGCAACGGGGUAUUAUAAGUGGCAGAGUGGCCUUGCUGCCACGAUCCAUUGAGAU
rnacentral:rRNA from 1 species